rnacentral:lncRNA from 1 species
UCUAUGUUUUGUUCUCCAUGCUUGAUUAUUCUGUACAUGCAUUUGAGGGAACAUUGAGAGGAAUUACGAGGGGUAGAUGAGUAAUUAAAUUGAUUACGAAUUGUGAAAUGACUUCUUUUGUAAAUUGAUUUCAUUUCAUCAAUUUCAAAGACUUGUGAGUGGUAGUCUUGAUUAUACUCCUUUAUGAGUAGUUAAAUUGGAUCCGAAUUGUGAAAUGACUUCUUUUGUAAAUUGAUUUCAUUUCCUCUAUUUCAAAGAUUUGUAGAGCCCUUUUCAGUGAUAUAUUGAGUU